rnacentral:tRNA from 2 species
GCGCCCAUAGCUCAGUUGGUAGAGCGGCUCCCUCUUAAGGAGAUGGUCGGGGGUUCGAAUCCCUCUGGGCGCACAA